ACUGCGUGCAGGGUUACUCCCAGUCGUGUUAUGGUAGUUUAGUUGUGUACCUUUUAAGCUUCAGUCACCUGGUGUACAGUACGUGGAGUUGGGUGUGACGACCGUUGGUGAUCAAGAUUAUAAUGUUGCUGAGGAACUUUGUGCAUACAAGAACCUGGUGGUGCUGCCAUCCAAAGCUGAACAUUCCCAAGCUCAAGAUUUUUAACAGAGGGUGGUGUAGCUCAGACACCCCUUUCAAUGAACUUGAUCUAGUUGUCACUGUUGAAGAUGACACCAGUCAAGAAAAUGUUUUUUGUGAAUCAGAAAUGUUGUAUUUUAUGGGGGAGUCCUCAGAUUAUAAAGGGCUGGAACAACUUAAAUAUGAGGAUAAACCUGUACCAAUAAAAAAGACUUUGGCCUACACAAAUAAAGUGCUUUUUGGCCCUCUCCUAGAAACAUCAGCCCAAAAGAAGAGAAGAUUAAAAAGAGAAGAACUAGAUAUUGAUGAUAAAGAUUGUAAUGAGAAGGAAAGUUUUAGAACCAAGAAAGAAUUGAAUGCAAAUAUAAAGAUAAAUCCACUUGUAUAUAAAUCAGAAAACUCACAUUACCUUGGCAUCUUUCCUGUUGGUAGAAAUUCUAAGUCAUCAGCAAAUGACCAAAGAAAAUCUAGAAUUAGAAUAAAUUUACACCAACCUGAAGAUAUUAAGUAUACCUCUCAAAACAGUAAAACAUUGAAAGCUUUAGAGAGUUUCAACAAAAAACACUUGAUUUUUAAAAAGCCUCCACAAUACACUAAGAGUUUGAAAAAUUAUACAGGUAAUAAAGUGUUUCAACAUGCAUGUACCAGACCUCAAAAAUUGAAAGUUGCUUCUUGGAUUAGUGACAAAGAAAGAGAAGCUGAGGUGAAUGCCAUAGAAAAUACAAGUAAUGGAAAAAACACCGUUCUAGAGAAUGUAGAUAAUAAUAGUAUUUACAAUUAUUCUCAAGUAAACUUAGCUAAGAAGCAAAAAGAUGAAGAAUCAUUAAUUGUUAAUGCCUCAGAAAAUAAUUCAAAUUCUUCUUUUAUUGUGGUUGAUAAUUCUAAGUUUUUAGCAGUGCCAGGUUCUCUGGAUAUGAACAUGAUCAAGAAUUACCCCCUGUUUACUACAAACACAUCAGCCAGUUUCAUAAGCGAGCAUACAUCUGUGUCCAAACAACCACCAGCGAAGGAAGAUAUUGCGACAAUUGGAAUAUUUGAUAAUGGUUAUAAAAAAUUACCCAGCGUCAGGAAAAUAUUGGAAGAAACCAUGCCUCUUUCCAAUAAGAUAGCAUUAGAGAAGUGGAAAACAAAGAUGAUCAAGGAACUUGGAGAAGAGGGAUUUCACCAUUAUCGGAAAGGUUUAUUAGACCGUGGGAUGUUGCUGCAUGGUUGCAUACAGUCAGAACUUAGUGGAGUGACCCCAUCUGUAGAAGAAAUGCCAAGCUUAGGAGGUCUUUGGACGAGUCUCAAGCAAGUUUUACCAAAUGUGUCUGAUGUAACGGUGUUAGAGAGUCGCCUCAUCCACCCGUAUCUCUAUUACCAGGGAGCUGUUGACUGUGUUGGUUCUUACAGAGGAACACCAGUGCUCAUUGAAUGGAAGACUUCUAGUAAGGCAAAACUCUCCUUGAAGUCUAUGUUUGAUGAUCCACUGCAAGUUGUUGCAUACUUGGGAGCUUUGAAUUUUGAUAGCAAUUAUAAGCUUCCACAUCAUAAUGACAUUGAGUUGAAAGCCAGGUCAAGGGACAUUGACUUUUGGGGACUUGUCAGCAGUGAAGUUUACUCUCCUCUCUUCAUAUGCACUGAGAGUAAAAGCCUACUUUGGAUCCAGCUGUCUCUGUGAGAUCGCUUUUUCACAGAUGAAAAUAAUCAAAUCAAGAACAGUACAGGGGCCACCUCACUGACAGACACCUCACAGACUAGUCUCAGACUGGCUGUGUCCAGGUUGAGACUGCAAUGCUGGUUGUAGCCUAUGAUACUGGAUUACCAGCUCAUGUUCACACCUUGAAGAAGGAAG
rnacentral:misc_RNA from 1 species